rnacentral:pre_miRNA from 1 species
UUGCCCAGGACUCCAUUGUGCUUGAUCUAACCAUGUGAAUCUGCUGCUGCCCAUGGUGGAGCCAAGCACCCUGGAGAGCUGUGAGCAAU